UAUAAAUUAGGGUGGCAGGACACAAA
rnacentral:piRNA from 1 species